rnacentral:tRNA from 1 species
GCUGAAAUACGCUGUUAACGCACUCGUAAUGCGUAGGUCGGAGGUUCGAGUCCUCUUUGCGGCACCA